rnacentral:rRNA from 1 species
UGAGAAUCUGCCUUCAGGUUGGGGACAACAGUUGGAAACGACUGCUAAUACCCAAUGUGCCGAGAGGUGAAAGCUUUAGUGCCUGAAGAUGAGCUCGCGUCUGAUUAGCUAGUUGGUGGGGUAAUAGCCUACCAAGGCGACGAUCAGUAGCUGGUCUGAGAGGAUGAUCAGCCACACUGGGACUGAGACACGGCCCAGACUCCUACGGGAGGCAGCAGUGGGGAAUUUUCCGCAAUGGGCGCAAGCCUGACGGAGCAAGACCGCGUGAGGGAGGAAGGCUCUUGGGUUGUAAACCUCUUUUAUCAGGGAAGAAGAUCUGACGGUACCUGAUGAAUCAGCAUCGGCUAACUCCGUGCCAGCAGCCGCGGUAAUACGGAGGAUGCAAGCGUUAUCCGGAUUUAUUGGGCGUAAAGCGUCCGCAGGUGGUUAUUCAAGUCUGCUGUUAAAGCGCGAGGCUUAACCUCGUACAGGCAGUGGAAACUGGAUGACUAGAGUAUGGUAGGGGUAGCGGGAAUUCCCAGUGUAGCGGUGAAAUGCGUAGAUAUUGGGAAGAACACCAGCGGCGAAAGCGCGCUACUGGGCCAUUACUGACACUCAUGGACGAAAGCUAGGGGAGCGAAAGGGAUUAGAUA